rnacentral:rRNA from 1 species
GAUGAACGCUAGCGGCAGGCUUAACACAUGCAAGUCGAGGGGUAUUUAUCUUCGGAUAGAGAGACCGGCGCACGGGUGCGUAACGCGUAUGCAAUCUACCUUUUACAGAGGGAUAGCCCAGAGAAAUUUGGAUUAAUACCUCAUAGUAUAUAGACUCGGCAUCGAGAUUAUAUUAAAGUCACAACGGUAAAAGAUGAGCAUGCGUCCCAUUAGCUAGUUGGUAAGGUAACGGCUUACCAAGGCUACGAUGGGUAGGGGUCCUGAGAGGGAGAUCCCCCACACUGGUACUGAGACACGGACCAGACUCCUACGGGAGGCAGCAGUGAGGAAUAUUGGACAAUGGGCGCAAGCCUGAUCCAGCCAUGCCGCGUGCAGGAUGACGGUCCUAUGGAUUGUAAACUGCUUUUAUACGAGAAGAAACACUGCUACGUGUAGCAGCUUGACGGUAUCGUAAGAAUAAGGAUCGGCUAACUCCGUG